GGGAACCUGAGCAACAAACCACUUGGAUUCAUGUUUGUUACGUCAAAAAUAACGGUAGAAGGGCGUGGCGCUACAAGUUCUUCGGACAAAACAAUACAGUUUUCCGUUCACGAACAAGACCGUGAAAAUUCGACAAAGAAGACUUUUGCCUUGAACCCGGGACAGCAGACGGUCACCAAAAUUGAAUUCCAAAUACUAUCGUUUGGUGUCACGGCGCUUGCGGGUGAAGGAAGCACUACAGGGAGAACUGAUUGUGACGGAUUAAAAGAAGUAAUCCUAAGAAUUGUGAAGAACUUCUAUGUGGAAAAGGUCAUCGUACGCACCGGAAUGUACAACUCCUGGUAAUGCUGCAAAGUAAAACUUAGCUCUUCAAAAUAAAUCACAUUGUCCAG